CAAUAGCGUAUAUUUAAGUUGUUGCAGUUAAAAAGCUCGUAGUUGGAUUUCGGAUGGGAUUUGCCGGUCCGUCGUUACGAUGUGCACUGGCCAGUCCUAUCUUGUUGUCGGGGACUAGCUCCUUGGAUUCACUUCCUGGGACUAGGAGCUGACGAGGUUACUUUGAGUAAAUUAGAGUGUUCAAAGCAAGCCUACGCUCUGAAUACAUUAGCAUGGAAUAACACGAUAGGACUCUGGCUUAUCUUGUUGGUCUGUGAGACCAGAGUAAUGAUUAAGAGGGACAGUCGGGGACAUUCGUAUUUCAUUGUCAGAGGUGAAGUUCUUGGAUUUAUGAAAGACGAACUUCUGCGAAAGCAUUUGUCAAGGAUGUUUUCAUUAA
rnacentral:rRNA from 1 species